rnacentral:rRNA from 1 species
GCAGUCGAGCGAGCAGACCAGCAGAUUUACUUCGGUAAUGACGCUGGGGACGCGAGCGGCGGAUGGGUGAGUAACACGUGGGGAACCUGCCCCAUAGUCUGGGAUACCACUUGGAAACAGGUGCUAAUACCGGAUAAGAAAGCAGAUCGCAUGAUCAGCUUAUAAAAGGCGGCGUAAGCUGUCGCUAUGGGAUGGCCCCGCGGUGCAUUAGCUAGUUGGUAAGGUAACGGCUUACCAAGGCAAUGAUGCAUAGCCGAGUUGAGAGACUGAUCGGCCACAUUGGGACUGAGACACGGCCCAAACUCCUACGGGAGGCAGCAGUAGGGAAUCUUCCACAAUGGACGCAAGUCUGAUGGAGCAACGCCGCGUGAGUGAAGAAGGUUUUCGGAUCGUAAAGCUCUGUUGUUGGUGAAGAAGGAUAGAGGUAGUAACUGGCCUUUAUUUGACGGUAAUCAACCAGAAAGUCACGGCUAACUACGUGCCAGCAGCCGCGGUAAUACGUAGGUGGCAAGCGUUGUCCGGAUUUAUUGGGCGUAAAGCGAGCGCAGGCGGAAGAAUAAGUCUGAUGUGAAAGCCCUCGGCUUAACCGAGGAACUGCAUCGGAAACUGUUUUUCUUGAGUGCAGAAGAGGAGAGUGGAAUUCCAUGUG